ensembl:lincRNA
AUGGAGACAUCAAACCCAGAAAUGCUGGACUGGCUGAGCAACUUGAGUAAAGCCCAUCCUCCCACUUUUGUCAUGCAGGCUCUGGGAACUGCUUUAAGAAUGAGAAAAAUGGACAUAAAAUGGUCUAAUCAGGCUAUAGAAAAAUGUGCUGCUCAAAAGGAGAUUUCCAUCUCGAAAAGGCAAAUUACUGGGAAAAAUGAAUCUGUUUUCUCUACCAAGGUAACCUACUAAUUUAUGAAACACACUGGGGACUUUAAGCAGGAUAUUUGGCACCACACCUUCUAAUCACACCCACUCUUUGUUGAGUAGCUGGAUUCUGUUUUCCCAU